GGGCUUGUGGUUUAGUGGUAUAAUUUUCCCUUAGCAUUUGUGUACUCUUUAGUACUACAAAGCGUGGGAAAGGUCCUGGGUUCGAUUCCCAGCAAGUCCA